CAGUAGCCGCGGUAAUACGAAGGGUGCAAGCGUUAAUCGGACUUACUGGGCGUAAAGCGCGCGUAGGUGGUUCAUUAAGUUGGAUGUGAAAGCCCUGGGCUCAACCUGGGAACUGCAUCCAAAACUGGUGAGCUAGAGUACGGUAGAGGGUAGUGGAAUUUCCUGUGUAGCGGUGAAAUGCGUAGAUAUAGGAAGGAACACCAGUGGCGAAGGCGACUACCUGGACUGAUACUGACACUGAGGUGCGAAAGCGUGGGGAGCAAACAGGAUUAGAUACCCGCGUAGUCCCUGUCUCUUAUAA
rnacentral:rRNA from 1 species